GAGUUCAUAGAAAGGACUUAUAUGGUUAGCAUCUCCCGCGAUACGGAUGAGAACAGCCUUCAGGUUUUAGUUUAAACAAAGUUCCACGCUUUCGUAUAUCUCUAUUUUUCU
rnacentral:ncRNA from 1 species